ensembl:snRNA
AAAAAGGGCUUUUGCUGUGAAUAGCACAGAGGAGGAAUGAUUAUUCGUUUCUUCUUUGCGGAAUCGAAAUCAAGAGAUUCCGGAAGCAUAAUUUUUGCAAACUCGGGCUGCUGAUGAUCAAAUGUCUCAGCGCCCGU